rnacentral:rRNA from 1 species
CACAUGCAAGUCGAACGAUGAAGCUGUGCUUGCACAGUGGAUUAGUGGCGAACGGGUGAGUAACACGUGAGUAACCUGCCCUCCACUUUGGGAUAACUCCGAGAAAUCGGGGCUAAUACUGGAUAUGACUAUGGCCCGCAUGGGUUUUGGUGGAAAGUUUUUCGGUGGGGGAUGGGCUCGCGGCCUAUCAGUUUGUUGGUGAGGUAGUGGCUCACCAAGGCGAUGACGGGUAGCCGGCCUGAGAGGGCGACCGGCCACACUGGGACUGAGACACGGCCCAGACUCCUACGGGAGGCAGCAGUGGGGAAUAUUGCACAAUGGGCGAAAGCCUGAUGCAGCGACGCCGCGUGGGGGAUGACGGCCUUCGGGUUGUAAACCUCUUUCAGCAAGGAAGAAGCGAAAGUGACGGUACUUGCAGAAGAAGCGCCGGCUAACUACGUGCCAGCAGCCGCGGUAAUACGUAGGGCGCAAGCGUUGUCCGGAAUUAUUGGGCGUAAAGGGCUUGUAGGUGGCUUGUCGCGUCUGCCGUGAAAACCCAGGGCUUAACUCUGGGCGUGCGGUGGGUACGGGCAGGCUAGAGUGCGGUAGGGGAGACUGGAAUUCCUGGUGUAGCGGUGAAAUGCGCAGAUAUCAGGAGGAACACCGAUGGCGAAGGCAGGUCUCUGGGCCGUUACUGACACUGAGAAGCGAAAGCAUGGGGAGCGAACAGGAUUAGAUACCCU